GGGACCGUAUCUUCGACGCGGUCGCGGCCGCCUAUGCCGGCCUGUCACGCCGGAGGUCGCGGGUUCGAGCCCCGUCACUCCCGCCA
rnacentral:tRNA from 1 species